rnacentral:rRNA from 1 species
CUAAUACAUGCAAGUCGAACGCUUCUUUUCCACCGGAGCUUGCUCCGCCGGAAAAAGAAGAGUGGCGAACGGGUGAGUAACACGUGGGUAACCUGCCCAUCAGAAGGGGAUAACACUUGGAAACAGGUGCUAAUACCGUAUAACAAUCAAAACCGCAUGGUUUUGAUUUGAAAGGCGCUUUCGGGUGUCGCUGAUGGAUGGACCCGCGGUGCAUUAGCUAGUUGGUGAGGUAACGGCUCACCAAGGCCACGAUGCAUAGCCGACCUGAGAGGGUGAUCGGCCACAUUGGGACUGAGACACGGCCCAAACUCCUACGGGAGGCAGCAGUAGGGAAUCUUCGGCAAUGGACGAAAGUCUGACCGAGCAACGCCGCGUGAGUGAAGAAGGUUUUCGGAUCGUAAAACUCUGUUGUUAGAGAAGAACAAGGAUGAGAGUAACUGUUCAUCCCUUGACGGUAUCUAACCAGAAAGCCACGGCUAACUACGUGCCAGCAGCCGCGGUAAUACGUAGGUGGCAAGCGUUGUCCGGAUUUAUUGGGCGUAAAGCGAGCGCAGGCGGUUUCUUAAGUCUGAUGUGAAAGCCCC